GUUUAUUUUAUAUAGCCAUUUUUAAAAGGAUUUAUAUGUGGCCAAUUUGUAAUUAAAGUGUUUUAAUCUGAUUAUAAUGCUCUUUCCCCCGUUUCUUCCUUCAAUUUCCCUUCCUCUGCCCAUAUAUAAAAUGGACUCUGCAACACCAUAUGAUUGCACGUACGUACACCAUUGGCCUAAUUAUAAACAUAUGGGGAAGAGAGUUAGAUCCCCCAUGAAUUGAUAGAAGUGAUUUAUUGCAGAAAGCCGCAACGUCACUUCCACCUGGAAGAAGAUCAGAGAGGACUGGCGUGGGAAGCUGGAAGGCCCGCACGGGAAGUGACGUAUGGCGGCUAUAUGCAACGUCACAGGCCGUCAGAAAGAGGACACAGGAGUUGAUAAUUAGAGACAGAGAACGCCCAAUCAGGGCAUACCCACGUGACUGGGAGGGAGGCCGGGCGCCAAGGUUUAAAUACAAGUUAGAAGCAUACAACACACAUAGCUGACUGAGGAAGCUUUUUAUAAGCGAAAUAAACCAUCUAAGACCAAGUGUUAAUAUUUGAUUUAUUAUUUUUUAACAUUUGUUUUAUUAAUAAUUUUUUUUGAGUAAGAUUCACUUUUAUGACCAGCCUCUGCUGCUUCUACAUUUACCUACAGGUGUUGUUUUACCCCAUAAAUUGACACCAAGCCUUCCAACCUCAGAGUCAGGGGUUUAACGCUCCAGGUGAGCUUAACUUUGAAUUAAAUUAUAAAUUAACAAGCUUCAUACUUCAUACAAGCUACAGCAGACUAGACGGGCCGAAUGGUUCUUAUCUGCCGUCACAUUCUAUGUUUCUAUGUAAUGUUAUAUCCUCCUAUAUAAUUAAUAAGUGGUAAGCAAAUUGCAUGCUUUUUUAUAUGUAAUAUUGUUGUAAGCUCUCCACUAUAUAUAUAUAUAUAUAUAUAUACACACACACCUAAAAACCUGAAAGAAAGAUUUUUAGAAAAAGGAUAUCCUGCAAAAUUAUUGGGAGAAGCCAUGAAUAAAGCAAUAACCACCCCAAGAGAAGAUACACGAUGUAAGAAAAUGUCCACUACGGAACCACAUCCCACUGCACCUGCCUUUAUUACGAAAUAUAACCACCAAUCCCUAACAAUACAGAAGAUUUUGAAGAAGCACUGGGGGAUUCUCAAAAACGACCUAACCCUCUCCAAACUCCUUGAUCACCAACCACAAAUUAUUUUCACUAGGGCACCCAAUCUCCAACUUAUGCUGGCACCCACUAUCAAAUCCUCAAAUACUACCACAGACCAAGAUUCCACUCAUGGCUUCACAAGAUGCAAGAAUUGAACAAUCCAUCCAUGGAACAAGUAACCACGAGAUUUUCAUCGUCUUUAACUUGAAGAGUAAUAUGAAUUGCAAUACUUCGGGGGUCAUUUACCUUAUAACAUGCCCAUGUCCAAAACAAUACAUUGGAUGUACAAAAAGACCACUAAAAGUACGAAUUGCGGAGCAUAUUAGGAAUGUUUAAAAAGGACUGCUAACACAUAACCUCUCCAAACACUUUAACCCCUUAAGGACACAUGACGUGUGACAUGUCAUGAUUCCCUUUUAUUCCAGAAGUUUGGUCCUUAAGGGGUUAAAGAACUACAUGGGGGAGACUCCAGAGGACUCGAGUGUAUAUCAAUAGAUAAGGUAAAUGUCCAUUGGAGAGGAGGCAGCAUUGACAGCACUCGAUCAAACAGAAGCAAAGUGGAUUUUCCAAUUAGACACUAUAGCCCCUAAAGGACUCAACAUAGAUUUUGAGCUACAUAAAUUUUUAUAGAUCCCUUUCCUCCUUUAUGUUCCCUCCUUCACCCUUCAGCCAUGCAAUUACUCACAUUUGUACUUGUACCUCAUAAGAUUUAUUUAAUGUGCAGUACCAUCUAUGCCAGGGGUAGGCAACCUACGGCACUCAAGGUGUCUUUGCACGGCACUCAAAGCUGCUAAAGCUGCUGAAUGCAGUGUGUGUGUUAGUGCAGUGGAUGCAGUGUGUGUGUUAGUGUAGUGAAUGCAGUGUGUGUGUUAGUGUAGUGGAUGCAGUGUGUGUGUUGGUGUAGUGAAUGCAGUGUGUGUGUUAGUGCAGUGGAUGCAGUGUGUGUGUUGGUGUAGUGAAUGCAGUGUGUGUGUUAGUGUAGUGAAUGCUGUGUGUGUGUGUGUUUAGUAGUGUAUGCAUGUAAUAACUGUUAUUCCCCCCUCCCUGUUUCUUACCUGGUUCAGGGAGGGGGGAAGAUUCCAUGAUCCCUGGUGGUCCGGUGGCAUUGUGGGUCCCCCCGGCUCCCUAUACUUGCAGAGGGGGCCCAGCGGCUGCACCUAUAUAUAGCGAUCAUCGCUAUAUAUAGGUGUAGAGAGUAAUUGUGGGGCCCUGGACUGCCAAAGCAGUCCGGGCCUCCCAGGACCGCCAGGCCCGUGACAACCGUCAUGGUUUUCACCCCCUGAUGGCGGCCCUGGCGCUAACAUAUGUAUUUUAUCUACUUUACUUUUAGAUUGGACCACCUAUAUGACAACAAAUAUUUAACAUUUAAUUACUGUCGCUUCUUCUUGUAUUAUACAAAUAUUUUACCAUUGUGGGG